UACAGAGGGGGCAAGCGUUGUUCGGAAUUACUGGGCGUAAAGGGCGCGUAGGCGGCUCGGCAAGUCGGUCGUGAAAUGCCGGGGCUCAACCCCGGGACUGCGUCCGAUACUUCCGAGCUGGAGGCAGGUAGGGGAGAUCGGAAUUCCUGGUGUAGCGGUGGAAUGCGCAGAUAUCAGGAGGAACACCGGUGGCGAAGGCGGGUCUCUGGGCAGUAACUGACGCUGAGGAGCGAAAGCGUGGGGAGCGAACAGG
rnacentral:rRNA from 1 species